UUUCCAUACCCUACCUGUUUGUGUUUACUCCUGGAAAUCCUGUAAGAUGUUACCUGUUGCAUUUCCCUGUCUUUACAACCUGUGGACUGUUUUUCUGUUGGAGUUUUGGACUUUUCUGGCAUCUUGUAUCCUUGGUUUAAGUUUCAGGUUUAGUUAUGCCAAGGAUGCCGUGCCCGUUCCAGUUCCCGAGUGGGUCGGCCUGGAUGCCCAUGUCGUGGCUGUUCCAGUUUCUGAAUGGGUCAGCCUGGAAUCCGAUGCCAUGCCCAUUCCAGUUCUCGAGCGGGUCAGCUUGGGUCAAAAGGACAUCCACCUGAACAUCUUCGUCAGCUUUCUGCCUGGUCCCAAGGGUGUCCACCUACACAGCUUUGUCACCUUCCUGAAUGGCUUCGCCAGUCUCCUGCCUGGCGCAGAGGUCGUCCACCAAAGUGGCCACUCUAUAUUCCUUCCUGGUCCCGAGUUUGCCCUCCGGAGUGACUUUUAGUUGCUGCUGGAGCCUGAAAUUUCCCCCUUUUGGAUAUGUCUUUAGUUCCCUGCCUAUUCUCCUGAGUUUACCCCUGAGUGACCUUAAUGGGCAUGUUACUGGACUUUUGACUCUUCUUGGACAUUUUGAAAUGUUUUCUGUGCUGUUUGUGCCCACCUUCCUGGUCCUCUGCCUCCCACCCUGCUUGGACUUCUUCCUUUUGGAUGUCUGGAAGCCAUCGUCUUGGGGUGGGGGGGCACUGUAAUGGUUUGGGUCCUAUACUAGUAACAGUUUACAAUAAAAAUGUACUUCCUUUAUAUGAAAAUUUAAAAAAAAAUAAGCCCUCUUGUUACAUCCAUGGCCCUGGCCACCACCAGCAUCUCGUCAGCCGGUAUGUGUAAUCCCAGUAGCAAUUCCCCCGCACAGGUGGGAGUGCAUUCCAGGCAGCGAGGCACACCUGCUUUUAAUCAUUAGAGCAGUAUUUAAGGAAAGCUUUGGUGUGUCCUUGUCGCCAGAUGAUUGCUUGUAUUCCACCAAUAACUUUGCUUGGCAUCCAUGCCCAGACCCUAUACUGACAAACUGUGCACCUGUUGUUAAACUUGGCUUUAUGUUUUUGUUUGUGGAACUGAAUGUUGUAAAGUUGUGGAUGUGUCAUUCAUUGGCUUGUCUGGAUUCCAGCCCUUCCUUGCUUUGUUUCUCUCAGCACCAAGCGGUGCUGUGGCUGUAACCUGUUUUUUCCUCAGUGUGAGGAGACCCGCUCUUACUAUGAUUCUGGAUCUCCACCAUCAGUUGCCAUCACAGCAUCCUACUGCCUGUUCUGCCAUGGACCUGCUCAUCUGACUGGCUGUCUCCUGCGCCCUCUCCUGCUGCCCUGGACUGCUUCUUUUUGCCUGCAGUGCUCACUUGCUGAGAGCCAGCACAGUCGGCUAAUCAGCAAGCUGCGUCCCAACUACAACCCCAGGUUGCAUCACCAGCAGUCCAGUCCAGUCCACCCAGCGCUCCCAGCUGCCCCGUGACCAGCGAAUGAGACCAGCUCUGUCACUUCUCCUCUGUACACUUAUUAAACACACUUACCUUGUCAA